UACGCGUGGCUCGCUGAGGGCAUGUGGUUCGGCGUUGUUUCAAUGCCGUACAUUUUAGUGCAGUGAUUAGUGUAAUCACUGUGUCGCACUUUUCUCUGAUCAAAAAUCAGAAAUCAGAGAAAUCGCCGCUGGUUUGCAUGUAGAAUGCAUGUUUUCUACUGCUCCAGCCACGAGGUUCUGUGCGUGUGCGUGUGUGUGCUUCAAUAGGUGACAGCUCAUUUCGUUGCUGUGGAAAAGUGUUGCUAGAAGAAACGGACAAGCAUGGAAUAGAUAAAACCCAGUAACCUUUGGUUUUGUUUGUGAGGAAAAUAUAUGUGCCUAAUGCUUUGCGAAUUCUUGCGUAGCAACAAAAUGGUGGUUUUGCAAUAAAAUCUAAUUUAUUGUGUGCGUGCGUGCGUUCGUGUUUGCUAUGCGAACGAAUCGGUUUGAAGCAAAACCACCAGUUGCUUGUGUGUGUUUAUUUUGUUUUUCUUUGGCCCGGAUCUCGGGGUCGUGCUUUGGUGUAAUAUGAGGAUGUGUUUGAGGAAUAUUGCGUGACUGCAGAAUAUCGCCAGGAUGAUACAUACCGAACUCUAGGAAGCAGUUCGGUUUUCGGAAUUGUGUUUUGCCGGCACAAGCCUUUUUUUCUUUAGCAGCCAGGGUUGGCUCGAAAAGCAUUUGCCAUAAAUGAGGCACCAGCUUAUCUUGCCAUAAAUGAGGCAACAUAUUAUCUUGCCAUAAUUGAGGCACCAGCUUAUCUGGCCAUAAAUGACGUGUUUCUUAAAAUCGAUGUGAUUUUGAGACCUUUGACCGAUACUAAAUGAGACUUAUGCUGCGUGAUCUACAUAUUAAGAGCUCGACGCAGCGAUUGCCUGAAAAUGGAAAACGAAUAACUUACAUCGAACAAGACUGUGAAACCUCCAUUCAACAAAAGUAAGCCCUAAAUUAAGAAAAGCUAUAUCUGGAAGUGCAUUUGCCAGAAAAAUGACCUUCACCUAGACAAUUAUG